UACGGAGGGGACUAGCGUUGUUCGGAAUUACUGGGCGUAAAGCGCACGUAGGCGGAUUUGUAAGUCAGGGGUGAAAUCCCGGGGCUCAACCUCGGAACUGCCUUUGAUACUGCAAAUCUCGAGUCCGGAGGAGGUGAGUGGAAUUCCUAGUGUAGAGGUGAAAUUCGUAGAUAUUAGGAAGAACACCAGUGGCGAAGGCGGCUCACUGGUCCGGUACUGACGCUGAGGAGCGAAAGCGUGGGUAGCGAACAGG
rnacentral:rRNA from 1 species